UACGUAGGGUGCGAGCGUUUGUCCGGAUUUAUUGGGCGUAAAGAGCUCGUAGGCGGCUUGUCGCGUCGGAUGUGAAAGCCCGGGGCUUAACUCCGGGUCUGCAUUCGAUACGGGCAGGCUAGAGUGUGGUAGGGGAGAUCGGAAUUCCUGGUGUAGCGGUGAAAUGCGCAGAUAUCAGGAGGAACACCGGUGGCGAAGGCGGGACUCUGGGCCGAUACUGACGCUGAGGAGCGAAAGCGUGGGGAGCAAACAGG
rnacentral:rRNA from 1 species